UCCGGUUUGGCACCGGCAGUCUCCCCAGAGUUCCCGGCUUUACCCGCUGGCAACUGAGGACAGGGGUUGCGCUCGUUGCGCCACUUAAGGCAACACCUCACGGCACGAGCUGACGACAGCCAUGCACCACCUGUGCGGGCUCCGUAGAGCACCGUGUUUCCACGGCUUCACCCCGCAUGUCAAGCCCAGGUAAGGUUCUUCGCGUUGCGUCGAAUUAAGCCACAUGCUCCGCCGCUUGUGCGGGCCCCCGUCAAUUCCUUUGAGUUUCAACCUUGCGGUCGUACUCCCCAGGCGGGGUGCUUAAGGCGUUAGCUGCGCCACCGAAGAGCAAGCUCCCCGACGGCUAGCACCCAUCGUUUACAGCGUGGACUAC
rnacentral:misc_RNA from 1 species